rnacentral:lncRNA from 1 species
UUCUGGAGCUAUGAUAUAUAUAUAAAAAAAAUAGGUAACAAUCUUUGAAUAUUUAUACAAAUAAUCUUUUGAUCUCAAUUUGAAAUUUUGUCAUUAUAAUUUUAAGCUUUAUGCAUCUUGACUAAAAAAUAAUACAUCUCGCUGCAGGCACGUCGAAACCAUGAUCCACUUAUGCCGUUGGAGAGAGGACUUCUUCAACUAUAUUACAUACAAAAAAUUUGGUUAAGACUCUCUGUAAAUUCAUACAGAUAUUUUUUUGAACUCAAUUUUGAUUUUCUAUCAUUGUGCUUUUAACAGCUUUGCACUUUCUGGCAGUAAAAACUAUAUUGCUGGUGCAUCAUCUUUUUUUGAUAUCGUAUUAUUUUUUAUUUGAAUGCUUCCAUUUUCUUUCGCUCGCACUUCUAUAGAGUUACAACUUGAUUUUACUUGAAAUAUCAAGUUCCAUAUCUAUAUCCAUAUCAUGGAAUUGCAGAUGAUAAAAAGUAUCCAAUGCCAAAGUAUUCAAUUGAAUCUUGUAUCUGUAUUUAUAAAUGGGAAUAUUUGUAUUACUCUUCCUCACCCAAUCACAUACACAUUUACAACUUUACCCUAGUACCCUUUUUGUAAUUACUAUAGUACAAAGAAUAUCCUAAAUUUCUUGCAUAUCUAACCAGUCAUUCUCUCCCAGAUAUCCCUCUGAUUUUCUUUCCUUUCCUUUUCGCCGACAUCUUAAGCCCGAAACAUGUUUGGUGAAGUAGGUAAAAGGACAUUGUUGAUGCAACAAUAACAUACCCAGUAAAAUUUAACUAGCGAAGAUACGAUGCACAGGAAAAAAAAUUAACAUGCCAUGUGAGAAUAAAAUAAAUAAAAAAAUCGAUAAUUCCCACUUCACAAAUUAGCACAUUUAUUUUACAUAGUUAUCUGCCCUUUGUUUUAUUCGUUUUUCCCUCUAAAACUAGUUAUUGAUUCCAUUUAUUCUACAUUUUAUUAUAUUUUAUAACAGAUUUUAAUUAUUAUAUAUGUUAGCAUAUCAUAAGCCCACUUAACACUAAAAGAUGGAAUACUUGAAACUAGAAAUAUAUUUUAUAUUCCAGAUUUUGGGGGAAAACGACAUUUAAUUUAAUAAUUCGACUUAUGAAUUUAUUAAAGGAAUCUUUAAGCAAAUAGAAAUGCAAAUGCAAAUAAUACUGAUAGACAUAUGAACCUUAAUUUAUCUAUUUUUUUGGCUAAGAGCAGGAAAGUAAUCCUCAAAUUCAGAAAGUAGAGAAGCUCCCAAAACCCUAACGAAUCUAAACUGAAAUCUACCUUAGAAAACGAAGAAAUAGUAAAUAAAAAUGGAAUACACUUACCUUGUACUAGGAUGAACAAAUUAGGGAUUUCUAGCUUCUCUACUUCUCGAUGUUUUUGCUGAGACUGGAGUGAAGCGGAGGGUUUUGGGCAAAUUAUAUUCUUAAGACCCCAAAAAAAAUUACUUUGAAACUCCAAAAGAAAUUACUAUGAGAAGAAGAAGCUAUGCUAUUGCUGGAGACUGAAACUCCAACUCAUUCUCGUCGUUCCAGAUUCCGUUGACUACUACGGCGAGUUGAAGGGGAUGAUGAAGAAGAUGAAUUUGAUGAUUUGGACAAUGAGUUAGGGAUUCAUGGAAGAAGAAGGCAAGCAGAAAGAAGAGAGCCCCGUAAAUUGUAAGAGGAAGGCGGAAGAAGAGUAAAAAUCAGAGUAAAAUUGGGAAAGGCGGAAUUUCUGAAAAGAUUGGGAAAAAAAUGGAGGGAGUGUGGAAUAUAUUACCCGCUAUUAUUGUAUAAUUU